UGGCCUUCUUAGCCCAAUCCUGCCUUUUCCUCUCUGCCCUGGCUCUCUAGCCAAUGAGGUAGAGCUUAAGAUUCCAGCUCUGCUUCCAACCUUGCCACAGCAAUGCGAGAGGCAGCAUGAAAUGGUGACCUGAGAAUCUAGUGGAGGGAACUGAGUGAAGACAACCUCUCCUGGGACCCUGAGAAACGUAUCCAACGUCUCUCAAGAUGGGUUUCCACGGCUGCAUGAUGGGGAUAAAAUGUCCUGGACAGAACAGAUGUAGUGAGCAUUAAAUGAAGCUGUAUGAGGCUUCAAGCCAAGUUUUCUAUAAAGCUUUGUUUUCCAUUUCCAGAUACUCUUAACACUUAAGCCAGGGUGAUUGGCUGAUCUGAUGAACCCAUGUCUGUAAUCUCGGCUGGUCUUCAGAUGUCCCAGGGAACAGACACUCGAUGGUUGAACCUCCCCACAUUGUGUUGAAUAACAGACCAUUUGCUCAAGGAAGAUUAUUCUGGAAGCCAAAAUAGGACAGAUAGGGCAGGGGGUGAAGACAAAGCCACCAGGUCUUCAGUGAAAUAUCAUUGUUUCUUACCCUUGAGAGGAAAUAGGUAAGUCAAGGAAUAUUAGAAAGGUCGUUAGUUUUUGCUCCCUGCCCUCCCUUUUAUCAAGCAAAAAACCCAGAAAUAACGGUUCCGUUUGGGGAACAAAGGUACAUCCCACAGGGGCUGUUCACUCACUGCGGCCGUGCUCUCCCACAUAGACGGUGCCCACGGUGAGUAACAAGGAAGUCCAGCUGUGCCUUUGCUCAACCAGCCCCUUGGCUGGGGGUUUCCUGAUUGCCAAUCCCGUGGGAACAUCUGCUCUCCCAGAAAUCACCCUACAGCCCGUUCCUUCCUCUCCUUCUUAGAACUGUGGGGCUAACUUCUCGAGCUUCCUUCACAUCAUAACCCAUCGCCCUUGCCUCGCCCCAACGCCAAAGACUUACCUAUUUUUUACUGCCCCUCCCUCAUCCUUCCCUCUUUUCUCCAAGGACUACCAUACACCCUUCUCCGUUGUGGUUCUACUCUUCCUCGGCUCCCAGUCAGAGUGCUGAAACACAUCAACAAGAAGAGAAAAGGGAGAUUAUUUCCCGUGACUUGAGUUUAUAAAAAUAGAAUGGAUUUUAUAAAAAGUAGCAGCAGCCAGGAGUGGUAUUCACUCACCUACUAGUUACUCUAAUUAUAGAUGGUUGGGUGUCACAGGCAACCAUAUUGAGUGACCAGAAGGUUGCAUCAGACAGGAUUUCUCAUUUCCAACUUCCCCUGUUAAUGCCCUGUGUAUGCCCUGGUCAGCAACUUUAAAUGACAGCCUGAUUGUUACAAAAAUAGGAAGUCUUCUCAUUAGCUGAAUUGUGGCCUGCAAGUUUAUCUUACAAAGGAUGUUUGAUUCCCAGACCCUGGCUUGAUUCUCCCAAGAUUUUGCUGACUUACUGUUUCCCUAGAAAGAAUGGACAUUUUGCCUGGGAAAAGAUGGACACGUAGGAAUUCCAAAUGGGAAAAAGAGAAAGAGUCAAAAUCCUGUUCCCAUUUCAGUAAACUGUGUGUUCUCUGCCCCCCUCCCCCAAUAUUCCUUUGCUUCUGAUAUUUAGCCUUGAAAUCUCUGUUCCAAGAAUGUGAAAGGAUUAAGAUGCCAUAAGCCUGAUAUUCAAAUCAGGAGUUUCCACUCCUAUAGAACCUACACAAGAACUAGGACUUAAAAAAAGAAAAACCAGCCUGGCAUUAAAUGAAUUCAGCACCUCUGAAUUUAUUUAUAACCUUUUCCUUGGCCUUUUAUCCAAACGUAUUUCUGGGAUUUUUUUUUUUUUUUGAGGGUGGAACCUCUCAAAGUGGCUCCUUCUCCCGUAACAGAAGUCAUAAACUGGCCCUCCACAAACCGCAUCCAGCCAGCUGAUGUAUUUAGUUUGGCUCACAUAGUGGUUUUUAAAGAGAAGAAUUAGUU